rnacentral:rRNA from 1 species
AUUGAACGCUGGCGGCAGGCCUAACACAUGCAAGUCGGACGGUAGCACAGAGAGCUUGCUCUCGGGUGACGAGUGGCGGACGGGUGAGUAAUGUCUGGGGAUCUGCCCGAUAGAGGGGGAUAACCACUGGAAACGGUGGCUAAUACCGCAUAACGUCGCAAGACCAAAGAGGGGGACCUUCGGGCCUCUCACUAUCGGAUGAACCCAGAUGGGAUUAGCUAGUAGGCGGGGUAAUGGCCCACCUAGGCGACGAUCCCUAGCUGGUCUGAGAGGAUGACCAGCCACACUGGAACUGAGACACGGUCCAGACUCCUACGGGAGGCAGCAGUGGGGAAUAUUGCACAAUGGGCGCAAGCCUGAUGCAGCCAUGCCGCGUGUAUGAAGAAGGCCUUCGGGUUGUAAAGUACUUUCAGCGGGGAGGAAGGCGAUGGGGUUAAUAACCCUGUCGAUUGACGUUACCCGCAGAAGAAGCACCGGCUAACUCCGUGC